GACGAACGCUGGCGGCGUGCUUAACACAUGCAAGUCGAACGGAAAGGCCCUGCUUUUGUGGGGUGCUCGAGUGGCGAACGGGUGAGUAACACGUGAGUAACCUGCCCUUGACUUUGGGAUAACUUCAGGAAACUGGGGCUCAUACCGGAUAGUAGCUCCUGCUGCAUGGUGGGGGUUGGAAAGUUUCGGCGGUUGGGGAUGGACUCGCGGCUUAUCAGCUUGUUGGUGGGGUAGUGGCUUACCAAGGCUUUGACGGGUAGCCGGCCUGAGAGGGUGACCGGCAACAUUGGGACUGAGAUACGGAACAGAAUGCUACGGGAGGCAGCAGUGGGGAAUAUUGCACAAUGGGCGGAAGCCUGAUGCAGCAACGCCGCGUGCGGGAUGACGGCCUUCGGGUUGUAAACCGCUUUCGCCUGUGACGAAGCGUGAGUGACGGUAAUGGGUAAAGAAGCAACGGCUAACUACGUG
rnacentral:rRNA from 1 species